UACGAAGGGUCCAAGCGUUGUUCGGAAUCAUUGGGCGUAAAGCGCGCGCAGGCGGAUUAAUAAGUCAGGUGUGAAAUCUCGGAGCUCAACUCCGAAACUGCGCCUGAAACUAUUAGUCUAGAAUGUCGGAGGGGGCAGGGGAAUUUCACGUGUAGGGGUAAAAUCCGUAGAGAUGUGAAGGAACACCGGGGGCGAAGGCGCCUGCCUGGACGACUAUUGACGCUGAGGCGCGAAAGCGUGGGGAGCGAACAGG
rnacentral:rRNA from 1 species